GGGCGAUUAGCUCAGUUGGCUAGAGCGCUACGCUUACAACGUAGAUGUCGGGGGUUCGAGUCCUCCAUCGCCCA
rnacentral:tRNA from 1 species